UACAGAGGGGGCAAGCGUUAUUCGGACUUACUGGGCGUAAAGGGCUCGUAGGCGGCCAACUACGUCACACGUGAAAUCCCCAGGCUUAACCUGGGAACUGCGUGUGAUACUGGAUGGCUUGAAUCCGGGAGAGGGAUGCGGAAUUCCAGGUGUAGCGGUGAAAUGCGUAGAUAUCUGGAGGAACACCGGUGGCGAAGGCGGGUCUCUGGGCAGUAACUGACGCUGAGGAGCGAAAGCGUGGGGAGCGAACAGG
rnacentral:rRNA from 1 species